rnacentral:rRNA from 1 species
CAGCCGCCGCGGUAAUACGAAGGGGGCUAGCGUUGUUCGGAAUUACUGGGCGUAAAGCGCACGUAGGCGGAUCGAUCAGUCAGGGGUGAAAUCCCAGGGCUCAACCCUGGAACUGCCUUUGAUACUGUCGAUCUGGAGUAUGGAAGAGGUGAGUGGAAUUCCGAGUGUAGAGGUGAAAUUCGUAGAUAUUCGGAGGAACACCAGUGGCGAAGGCGGCUCACUGGUCCAUUACUGACGCUGAGGUGCGAAAGCGUGGGGAGCAAACAGGAUUAGAUACCCCGGUAGUCCCUGUCUCUUAUAC